GAUGAACGCUGGCGGCGUGCCUAAUACAUGCAAGUCGAGCGAAUGGAUUAAGAGCUUGCUCUUAUGAAGUUAGCGGCGGACGGGUGAGUAACACGUGGGUAACCUGCCCAUAAGACUGGGAUAACUCCGGGAAACCGGGGCUAAUACCGGAUAACAUUUUGAACCGCAUGGUUCGAAAUUGAAAGGCGGCUUCGGCUGUCACUUAUGGAUGGACCCGCGUCGCAUUAGCUAGUUGGUGAGGUAACGGCUCACCAAGGCAACGAUGCGUAGCCGACCUGGGAGGGUGAUCGGCCACACUGGGACUGAGUCACGGCCCAGACCCCUACGGGAGGCAGCAGUAGGGAAUCUUCCGCAAUGGACGAAAGUCUGACGGAGCAACGCCGCGUGAGUGAUGAAGGCUUUCGGGUCGUAAAACUCUGUUGUUAGGGAAGAACAAGUGCUAGUUGAAUAAGCUGACACCUUGACGGUACCUAACCAGAAAGCCACGGCUAACUACGUGCCAGCCGCCGCUGUAA
rnacentral:rRNA from 1 species